rnacentral:lncRNA from 1 species
CGGACUUGACCCCGCGCAUGCCCGGACUCUCCCAGCCUUAUAUAAUCCGACCGCUCUCGAUUAACCGUGCCGUGCGCCAUUGACGAGGAGAGAGAAGCGGGGACCACCAUUGAUGCAUCGUGAGCGCAGGAGAGAGAGAUGCAAGAAGAGAGAAAAUAGAGCUGGGCCACUGCGAGGGAGUCCUGGAUCACCAUCGAUCUGAGUCAAGCACGCGGCCAGAAAGAUCCCCGACGAGAAUAACUGAAUGCGAGGACCUGGGAUUUGUUCAUCAGCGAUUGCUGCUGCUGUGUGUCCGCCCCUCAUCGAGGCCUCCUCUAACCGUCGCUUAAUCACAGGUAAAAAGUCCCUAAAUGCAUUCGCGACACCUUAAUCUUCGUGUUCCCGUCGGUAAUUGGAUCUGCGUGAGCCUGCGUACUAGUUUGGUAUGUCGCCGUGGAGUGCCACGCCGCCGGGUGUGUCGUGCGGGCCACUGCUGCUGGGGGCUGAGAAGGAAGACGAUGGGAGAAACGUCGAUUUCUGGUGGACGGCUCAGAUUGAACGCUGCGUACACCCCUUCGCUGGUUUGAUCUGAGCGGUUGGUUCCGAUCGGACGGACCUGGUGUGAUCACGGUUAUUUAAAAUAUAGGCCGUUGAUCUGGCCAGGGACGGAUACGAUUAGACUGGACGCUUACCUCUUCGUUGGUUGAGUAUGUACUGUUGAUCUAUGAUCUAACGGUUGUGAUGCGCGCGGGGUUAGGCAGCCGAGCCAGCUUUACGUAAGAGCCCUCGAGAUUUAAGGUAAUAAACCCGCCGUCCAUUUUUUUAGUAUAAAGAAAGUAAAAUUAAAUGAAGACUUUGCGUUUUAGCCCAUGGGGUUUGUUUUUAGGCACAAAAUUGAUACAAAUAUGCACAAAAGCUAAGAAAAUCCAUAUCUUGCUCAUGUUAACUCCUUUUUAGUCCGUUCAAGUUGCGUUAGCUUCGUAAUAAAAUUAUCUACACUUUGGUAACCUUAUUUUAUCAUGAAACAUGUUUGUAAAUAAUUAAUUUGUUUACCCUAUGUUCAUUGGAUUAACUUCUUUAUUUAAAAUUAAAGUAAAAUUUCCGCUUCCUAGUUGUAAUUUGACUUAAAUAUGUUUUCUAAUCAAGUUAUAACUUGGGUUAAAAUUAAAUUAAUGGUUUCUUAGGAAUAUAUUUCUCACGUGAUUUAUAAUAAUCAACCUAGAACCUAGUUUUCCUGUUUAAUCACAUAAACCUUCGGAAAAUCAUAACUUUAUAACCGUAGCUCCUAAUUUAGCAAUUCUCGAGCCCGCGAUCUCAUAGCUUCGCGUAGAUUAUUAUUACACAGUUUAUUCUUAUAUUUGGUGUGAUGUUAAUUUUGCCUAUACCAUGUUUGUUUGUAUUGCUACGACUAGCGUGAGGUCACGAGUCACCUGAAGAUCAUCCUGGUACCUGGAAUCUCAAGUCCCAGGCAAGUUGUGCCCUUGAUCACUUCUUUUACCCACUCAUGUUCUAAUUAAUCAUAAUGAUCUGCAUAGGUUAAUUUGAUGGGACCUAAUAGGUUACCCUAGUUUGUCUAUCUUUAUGCCUUGUUUACCACUAAACUUUCUGGGUAGUACUUGCUAGUGCUAUAUGUGGUUUUGGGCAUUGAGAUACAUAUUAUUCAUACUUUUGUUAUCAGUUGCUAUUUACUGUUCAUGAUAAGAUCAUUCUGUUAAUUGGAACAUGGAGAACCACCCGGGAAAACAGUGCUACCACAAGGGUUUAAUGGGACGCCCUUGGCCGAUUAAUUAGGAAAGCUAGUGGAAGACUACCUUACCCGAAAGGGGCAAGGGUAGUAGGGGAGUGGUCAGUGUAGGGAGGCCCUCGGGAGGAUUUUGCUACGAUGGCGGUCCUGCAAGGGAUUCCUGCAUUGGAGCUUCCUAUAAACUGUAGCGGGUUUUCUGAAGCUAGUGGAACUUUGUAAAGGCCUCGUAGUGUUACCCUGCCUCGCCUCCUCGGUAGAGGUGUAUGGGAAGUCGCGAUCCCUUGGCAGAUGGGUAACAUGACUUGUGGGUAAAGAUGCGUAACCUCUGCAGAGUGUAAAACUGGUAUACUAGCCGUGCUCACGGUCAUGAGCAGCUCGGACACUCACAUGAUUAAAUUAUGAAACUUAAACUCAAUUUGUCAUAUGCAUUGCAUCGCAGGUGAGGUUGUUACUUUUGUUCUGCUACUUAAUUGGGUUGGUAUUUACUUAUACUUAGUAAUUGCUAAUAAAAUUUUGACCAACAUUAAAAGCAAUGCUCAGCUUCAACCAUCCUCUUUGGUAAGCCUUACACUUCACGUGAGCUCCCACCUUUGGCGAGUUCAUGCACAUUAUUCCCCACAACUUGUUGAGCUAUGAACGUAUGUGAGCUCACUCUUGCUGUCUCACACCCCCCACAGGUCAAGAACAGGUACCGCAGGAUGAGGCGCAUGGAGGAUGCUGUGAUGAGUUCGUGAGAGAGAUCUAGGCCGUCGUCUCCCAGUCAACUUUGGGUUGCUGGACCGUUGUCUCCUUUUGAUGUAAUUAUUUAUUGAUUUUGUAUAGAACUCUUGUUAUAU